rnacentral:rRNA from 1 species
UGGGGAAUAUUGGACAAUGGGCGCAAGCCUGAUCCAGCAAUGCCGCGUGUGUGAAGAAGGCCUGCGGGUUGUAAAGCACUUUCAGUGGGGAAGAAAAGCCUGGGGUGAAUACCCUCGGGUCUUGACGUUACCC